UUGCAUCCGGCAAUAACAGCGCGAUUCUGUCAUUGCCUCCGUUCUCUUUGAAACAGGCAGGCCUGGACCAGAGCCCGCAGGGUGAAUCGGAGCGGUGGUGCCCUCACCGCCCUGGGAUGGGGCGACGCCAGACGUCGAAUCGUCGUCCUUUGCCGAUAUCGGUCGUGUGUUAUCGGCGUACAUCGAUCCGCAAACAAACGCGAUUCCCAACCACCUUCCCUUAAACGUCAUCGAGCCGCAUCGGAAGUACAAGAAGAACGGAAGAUUUAAAUACGAAUUUUAUUAUGGAGAACAACUGUCUGAAUCUUUCAUCAUCGUCUCGUGAAAUUUUAUAUUUUUCCGAAAAAAAAAUUUCCGCAAUAGAUAGAAAAUGUUUUUCAAUGCGACAGAUUAUGAUCACAAAAAAUAAAUGUAUGGAAAUAAAUAAAGGAAGGAAAAUUGCGAGUCAUGAUUCGCAAAUUUGCUUGCGUCGCUAAUCGAGUUAUUAACGAAACGACGUUCGGACGAGCGCUAUUUCCGAAAUUUCCUCGGGACGGUACAUACAAAUGUUUAUAAGGGGAAGAUCGGGAUGGUGGCGUAAUGCGAGAUCCGAACACACGAUCCGAGAGAUCAUUGGACAAAAAUUAAUUGCAAACAGCGUGAGUGUGCGUGAGUGUGCGAAUGCGACAGGACCGGAGUCACAAAUGCACGGAUAGAGCAAAAACGUGAAAGAGGGAGAAAGAGAGAGAGAGACGGGAUUCGACGGGAUCUCGUGGUGCACGUGUGCGCAAUGAGUUUUCGUUACGUAGCCUAGUCACGUAAGCUAGGUGUUUCUCGGUGUGUAUUCUGUGAAGCAGUAGAGAGAGAAGAACGCCGUUUUAGUCGUACGAAUCGCAUAUCCGUUGUUCACGGUAACGAUUUUCGCGCGGGAACGUCUAUUUACAUAUAUAUAUAUGUCAACUCGAUUUUCUUACCGCAACCGAUAACAGCACAUUGCCGUUCAUGAAUUUAAUUGAAUACACAAAUAAAUGGAUGCGAGACAGAUUUAGUUGCUCUACUUAUCUUUGUGUAAAUUUUUCUCGCGAGAAUAAAAAAGUAUAAUAUAAUAUAUAGUCAUCGGCUAUUUAAUUGUCAAAUUAAUUAUGUUGGAAAGUAUAUAAACAGAUUUUUUAGAGAGAAUUGUAUUAAAUUACACGCGCAAUAUUUUAAUCAUUUAAUCAAUAAUUUUAAUGAAAUUCGUAAGAUGUUAGCGAUUUUUUUUUUUACCUUUCAUGAAUUCAUUAAAUAUUCAAAUAAAUCGACGUAAAACAAA